ACCUGUCAGGCAACACACACUGUCACCGCCCUGCCCCGCAGGCACAAACCGCUGACAAUUACAGGAUGCUGUGGAGGCCAUGCCUCAAGAGGGAGGGGCGAAUAGUUCUUCAAGCACUCUCUGGUAUUUGACCCGCAGUCUCAGGUUUAUGAUCUAAGUGCCGUUGCGUCGGGCAUGGCGCUCUUCUGAGGAUUCGUCUCCCCUCGGCUGGAGAUUGACAGGACGAGAAAAAGGCCGGCUGAUUGGCUUCAUGGGCGAAUAUCUCCAAACUUUCUGCAUUUUCAUCAAGAAACCCGACUCCCGUUUGCUCAAGACACGUAAGGAAUAGCAGUGAAACCAAAGAACAGCGGAGCCAGAGGGCAAACUCCUCACAGGUCUGGUUUUAGGUCGACCGCAUAGUCAUGCAUUAUAAAUGGGCUUGACUAAUUGCUGAUAUGUACCAAACAUAAGCAUUGAACGAGAAGUUUGCUUGUUGGCUCCACAGUCGGGCCUGUAACACGACCCCGCCAUGAAAGGGGAGACUCCAUAAAACAUACAACAACUAAAAUGAAGAAAGGAGAUUUGUUAGUUGACUCACAGAGAGCAAAUAAGAGCGACGCUAGGAUCUGCUGAAUCCAUCUGCCUUUGUAAAUGUAAACCAGACUGUCAGGGGGAAUGGUACACCUCACUAUUGUACAUGUCAAACAAUACAUGAGGAACAGCCAUAAAGUCCAACAGCAUUGAAAGAUGAAAAAUCUGUUUCAUAAGGGAGCUCUUCUCACCGAGUCACUGUGCACUUUCAUGGAUCCAGUUUCAGAUCCAUGAAAUGAAGAUUCCUCCGUCCGGGUAAGACAUGUAUUUCUGUUGAUGUUGAAAUUGAACAUCUGUGCGGCCGGGAAGUUGUUUCAGUCUUUAGAAGAACAGCAGCAGUUAAAGGGCGCC
ensembl:lncRNA